rnacentral:rRNA from 1 species
CAUGUAGGCGGAUUAAUAAGUUUGAAGUGAAAUCCUAUAGCUUAACUAUAGAACUGCUUUGAAAACUGUUAAUCUAGAAUGUGGGAGAGGUAGAUGGAAUCUCUGGUGUAGGGGUAAAAUCCGUAGAGAUCAGAAGGAAUACCGAUUGCGAAGGCGAUCUACUGGAACACUAUUGACGCUGAGAUGCGAAAGCGUGGGGAGCAAACA